GACGGAAGACGCCGCCCAUUGCGCCUGGCCGGGUAUAUGCAUGCCGCGGCGGGAUACCCGUAUAGUCAAACGGGUAUCAUCUUCGAGGCUUAUGUUACCCCGAAGACGAUGGAAUGGCUGGGCGGCACAGCGUCCUAUGACAGGCUGGUUGUAAGCGUCGCUGACAACCCGACAGAUCAGGA
rnacentral:misc_RNA from 1 species